GACCUCAAUCCGGNAGAUCC
rnacentral:rRNA from 1 species